CAGGACAAAUUAUUUAAUAAACAGAAACCCUCUUAUGUGCUAUACAAAUAGCUCAAGGUUAAUUAGCAGUAUAACUAAACAGUCAUGCUGCCAGUCUCCUUCACACAGUU
rnacentral:snoRNA from 1 species